UACGUAGGGUGCGAGCGUUAAUCGGAAUUACUGGGCGUAAAGCGUGCGUAGGCGGUUGGCAAAGUCAGCUGUGAAAGCCCCGGGCUCAACCUGGGAAUGGCGGUUGAAACUAGUCGACUCGAAUCUGGCAGAGGGGGGUGGAAUUCCACGUGUAGCAGUGAAAUGCGUAGAGAUGUGGAGGAACACCGAUGGCGAAGGCAGCCCCCUGGGCUGAGAUUGACGCUCAGGCACGAAAGCGUGGGGAGCAAACAGG
rnacentral:rRNA from 1 species